rnacentral:ncRNA from 1 species
AUAAAGUUUUAUUUUAGCUUAUAAAUUUAUUAAAAAUUUAAUUUAUAUAUAAAUUUUUAUGAGAAUUUUUUAUUAUUUUAAUAAUUAUAAAAAUAAUUUUUUAUUCGUAAUAAUUGGUAUUAUUAAUUAAAGAAAUUUAGAAAUAGUAAUAUAAAAUAAGUAUUGAUUUAAUUUGUGCCAGCAAUCGCGGUUAUACAAAUAAUGCAAAUAAAUUAUAUUAAUUUAAGUUAAAUUUUUAAAAAUUAAUUAAAUUAAUUUAUUAGGUGAAAUUUUUAAAUUAAUUAUAAAAAAAAUAAAAAUUGAAGCUUGGAAAUUUUUUAAAAAGACUAGGAUUAGAUACCCUAUUAUUAAAAAUAUAAUGUAAAUAAAUUAAGGUAGUAAUAGUUAUGUUCUUAAAACUUAAAAAAUUUGGCGGUAUUUUAGUCUAUUCAGAGGAACCUGUUUAAUAAUCGAUAAUCCACGAUGAACCUUACUUAAGUUUGUAAAUAGUUUAUAUACCGUCGUUAUUAAAAUAUUUUAAGAGAAAAUUAAUUUUUAAAAUUUUAUUAAAAAAAUAUAUCAGAUCAAGGUGUAGCUUAUAUUUAAGAAUAAAUGGGUUACAAUAAAAUUAUUUAGAUGAAUAUAUAUUUUAAAAAAUUUAUUGAAGGUGGAUUUGAUAGUAAAAUUAUAAAGAAAAAUAAUUUGAUUUUAGCUCUAAAAUAUGCACAUAUCGCCCGUCACUCUUAUUUUUAAAGUAAGAUAAGUCGUAACAUAGUAGAUGUACUGGAAAGUGUAUCUAGAAUG